CGGGCCGGUAGUUUNAUUGGGCCUAAAGCAUCCGUAGCCGGCUCUGCAAGUCUUCGGUUAAAUCCACCUGCUCAACAGAUGGGCUGCUGGAGAUACUACAGAGCUAGGGAGUGGGAGAGGCAGACGGUAUUCAGUGGGUAGGGGUAAAAUCCUCUGAUCCAUUGAGGACCACCAGUGGCGAAGGCGGUCUGCCAGAACACGUUCGACGGUGAGGGAUGAAAGCUGGGGGAGCAAACCGGAUUAGAUACCCGGGUAGUCCCAGCUGUAAACGAUGCAAACUCGGUGAUGCAUUGGCUUAUGGCCAAUGCAGUGCCGCAGGGAAGCCGUUAAGUUUGCCGCCUGGGAAGUACGGACGCAAGUCUGAAACUUAAAGGAAUUGCGGGGGGGAGCACAA
rnacentral:rRNA from 1 species